UCAAAGUGAGAAGUUUUUUUAAAGCGAAAAAGUUAAAGUGAAUUUUUAAAUUCUAACUAAAAAGUAUUUAAAAGUUGCAAACAAUAAAAGAAAGUAAUUGAAUAAUUAACAAUUUAAGUGAAUCAAAAAAAUAAAAUAACAACUGAAAACAAAAUGGUAGCAAUUGGUAUUGAUUUGGGUACAACAUACUCCUGUGUUGGUGUAUUCCAACAUGGUAAAGUGGAAAUCAUAGCCAACGAUCAAGGCAAUCGCACAACACCCAGUUAUGUUGCCUUCACAGAUUCGGAGCGUCUUAUUGGUGAUGCGGCCAAGAAUCAAGUUGCCAUGAAUCCACAGAAUACAGUAUUCGAUGCAAAACGUUUAAUUGGCCGCAAAUUCGAAGAUCAAAAGAUUCAGGAUGACAUGAAACACUGGCCCUUCAAAGUGGUAAAUGAUUGUGGAAAGCCAAAGAUUUCAGUAGAAUUUAAGGGGGAACAAAAGAAAUUUGCUCCCGAGGAGAUUAGUUCCAUGGUGCUGACAAAAAUGAAGGAGACAGCUGAAGCGUUUCUAGGCACAACAGUGCGCGAUGCAGUCAUUACAGUGCCAGCCUACUUUAAUGAUUCCCAGAGACAAGCCACCAAAGAUGCUGGAGCCAUUGCUGGUCUUAAUGUAUUAAGAAUCAUCAACGAACCGACAGCAGCUGCUUUAGCUUAUGGCCUGGACAAAAACUUAAAGGGUGAACGUAAUGUUCUAAUCUUUGAUUUGGGUGGUGGCACUUUUGAUGUUUCCAUUCUCACCAUCGAUGAGGGUUCAUUGUUUGAGGUACGUGCUACAGCUGGCGAUACUCACUUGGGUGGUGAAGAUUUUGACAAUCGUUUAGUCAAUCACUUUGCCGAAGAGUUCAAACGUAAAUACAAAAAGGACCUGCGUACGAAUCCCAGAGCUUUACGUCGCCUAAGAUCAGCAGCUGAACGUGUCUAAACGUACUUUAUCAUCCAGUACUGAGGCUACAAUUGAGAUAGAUGCUCUGUUCGAGGGUGUGGAUUUCUAUACUAAAAUAAGCCGAGCUCGUUUUGAAGAAUUAUGUGGCGAUUUGUUCCGCAACACUUUGCAGCCUGUAGAGAAAGCCUUAAAUGAUGCUAAAAUGGAUAAGAACCAAAUCCACGAUAUUGUCUUAGUAGGUGGUUCUACACGUAUCCCUAAAGUCCAAAAUCUACUGCAACAAUUCUUCUGCGGAAAAACUCUCAACUUGUCCAUUAAUCCUGAUGAAGCUGUGGCCUAUGGUGCCGCCAUUCAAGCAGCUAUUCUCAGUGGCGACAAGAGCAGUGCCAUACAAGAUGUUUUGCUAGUAGAUGUGACACCUCUUUCAUUGGGCAUUGAAACAGCUGGUGGUGUAAUGACUAAAUUAAUUGAACGCAACAGUCGCAUACCCUGCAAACAAUCCAAGACCUUUACCACAUAUGCUGACAAUCAACCAGCUGUAACGAUACAGGUCUUUGAAGGUGAACGAGCCCUGACCAAAGACAACAAUCUUCUGGGCACCUUCAAUUUAACUGGAAUACCGCCAGCACCUCGUGGGGUUCCUAAAAUAGAUGUUACAUUUGAUUUAGAUGCUAAUGGUAUUUUGAAUGUAACAGCCAAAGAAAUGAGCACUGGUAAUGCCAAAAAUAUUGUCAUCAAAAAUGAUAAGGGUCGCUUGUCCCAAGCCGAAAUAGAUCGUAUGGUCCGUGAAGCUGAACAAUAUGCAGAUGAAGAUGAAAAACAUCGUCAACGUAUAGCAGCACGCAAUCAAUUGGAAGCUUAUGUAUUCAAUGUCAAACAAUCUACCCAAGAUGCAGGCGAUAAAAUCCCCAAAUCCGAUAAAGAUCGUGUCAUGGAGAAAUGUGAAGAAACCAUUAAGUGGUUGGACAACAAUACCACCGCUGAAAAAGAAGAAUACGAUUACAAAUUGGAGGAAUUAACUAAAUUGUGUCAACCCAUUAUGACAAGACUACACCAGCAGGCUAGUGGUGGAGCUGCUGGCCCGCAAGCAGGUCCUGGUUGUGGUCAACAAGCUGGAGGUUUUGGUGGUCAAAAUUAUGGUUGCCCAACUGUGGAGGAAGUAGAUUAAAAAAUUUAAUUUAUUAUUUUAUUUAAGCAUUUUUUAUUUGAAGAGACUGAAUUUAUGAAU